rnacentral:rRNA from 1 species
AACGAACGCUGGCGGCAUGCCUAACACAUGCAAGUCGAACGAGACCUUCGGGUCUAGUGGCGCACGGGUGCGUAACGCGUGGGAACCUGCCUUUAGGUUCGGAAUAACUCAGAGAAAUUUGAGCUAAUACCGGAUAAUGUCUUCGGACCAAAGAUUUAUCGCCUUUAGAUGGGCCCCGCGUUGGAUUAGCUAGUUGGUGGGUAAAGCCUACCAAGGCGACGAUCCAUAGCUGGUCUGAGAGGAUGAUCAGCCACACUGGGACUGAGACACGGCCCAGACUCCUACGGGAGGCAGCAGUGGGGAAUAUUGGACAAUGGGCGAAAGCCUGAUCCAGCAAUGCCGCGUGAGUGAUGAAGCCUUAGGUUGUAAGACUCUUUACCCGAGAUGAUAAUGACAGUAUC